rnacentral:rRNA from 1 species
CACCAGCCCCUCGAGUGGCGGGGAUGAUUAUUUGGCCUAAAGCGUCCGUAGCCGGCCGGGUAAGUUUCCCGUUAAAUCCAGCGUCUCAAGCGUUGGACUGCGGGAAAUACUGCCUGGCUAGAGAGUGGGAGAGGUCAGCGGUAUUCUGGGGGUAGGGCGAAAUCCUUUGAUCCCCGGAGGACCACCAGUGGCGAAGGCUGCUGACUAGAACACGUCUGACGGUCAGGGACGAAAGCUGGGGUAGCGAACCGGAUUAGAUACCCGGGUAGUCCCAGCCGUAAACGAUGCAUGCUAGGUGUUGGGUUGGCCACGAGCCACCCCAGUGCCGCAGGGAAGCCGUUAAGCAUGCCGCCUGGGAAGUACGAUCGCAAGAUUGAAACUUAAAGGAAUUGGCGGGGAGCACCACCAGGCGUGAAGCCUGCGGUUU